AUUGAUUCAGUUGAACUGUGAUUCCAUCCUCUGUUCAGGCUUCAUCUGCUCCUACUUUAACAUCGGAACAGUACCAGCAACUUCUAACUAUUUUGUAGAAAGAUUCAUCUAUUUCUACUAUUGCUCACAUGGCUGGUACGGUCUCUUACUCUACAUCAUCUGGUUGUAUCCUUGACACAGGAACCACCAACCAUAUGACAUUUGAUUUUCAAUGCUUGAAUUCUUCUGCUGCUCUUGCUCCUAACAGCUCUUGUGUUCAAUUGCCUAAUGGGAAAUCAGCUCUGUUACUCAUAUUGACCAUCAUAUCAGUUCCCCCACUUAUAAGCUAACUAAUGUUUUAUACAUACCUGAUUUUAAUUAUAAUUUGCUUUCUGGUUCUCAGUUUACUAAAGACCUCAAUUGUUUUGUGUCUUUUUACCCUUCUUUUUACCUUUUACAGGACCUUUGCAAUGGACGGAUGCUGCGGAUUGGUAAGAACAUGUUGGUCGUACUACUUUCACCCACAUCAGCUCUCUUCUAGUCUUAUUCAUCCUCACAAAUUUGUCAAUAUUUCUUUUCCCAUUAUUACUUCUUUUAUGGCUUUACAUAAUGAUCCACAUGUAUAGCAUGCUCGCCUUGGUUACACCUCUAUUUCUACAAUGAAAAAAAUUGCUCAAUUAAAAUCUGGUUUACAUGAUCUUAAUGAAUUAUCUUGUUCUAUUUGUCCACU
rnacentral:lncRNA from 1 species